rnacentral:lncRNA from 1 species
UUAGUUCUUUUUGUCUUUUGAAAUUUUAAUUCAAUAUGAUUAAGUUUAUUUACAAAUUUAAUUUAGGAAAAAGGAAGUUCAAAAAUUCAAUGGAAUAAGGUCAAAGUUUCUACUUGAAAUAAGGUAUAAGUUUGAAAUCACAAGCAAAGUUUUUUUUUGAAAAGGGGGAGAGAUUUUGAAAUUUAAUAAGUGGAAGAAGAUGAAGAGGAUAUCCUAAGGAUAAAAUUAAAAUUUAAGAGUUGAAAAGAUCUGACCAAUG